rnacentral:rRNA from 2 species
GUGGGUAGUUUGACUGGGGCGGUCUCCUCCUAAAGAGUAACGGAGGAGCACGAAGGUUGGCUAAUCCUGGUCGGACAUCAGGAGGUUAGUGCAAUGGCAUAAGCCAGCUUGACUGCGAGCGUGACGGCGCGAGCAGGUGCGAAAGCAGGUCAUAGUGAUCCGGUGGUUCUGAAUGGAAGGGCCAUCGCUCAACGGAUAAAAGGUACUCCGGGGAUAACAGGCUGAUACCGCCCAAGAGUUCAUAUCGACGGCGGUGUUUGGCACCUCGAUGUCGGCUCAUCACAUCCUGGGGCUGAAGUAGGUCCCAAGGGUAUGGCUGUUCGCCAUUUAAAGUGGUACGCGAGCUGGGUUUAGAACGUCGUGAGACAGUUCGGUCCCUAUCUGCCGUGGGCGCUGGAGAACUGAGGGGGGCUGCUCCUAGUACGAGAGGACCGGAGUGGACGCAUCACUGGUGUUCGGGUUGUCAUGCCAAUGGCACUGCCCGGUAGCUAAAUGCGGAAGAGAUAAGUGCUGAAAGCAUCUAAGCACGAAACUUGCCCCGAGAUGAGUUCUCCCUGAGACUUUAGGUCUCCUGAAGGAACGUUGAAGACGACGACGUUGAUAGGCCGGGUGUGUAAGCGCAG